rnacentral:rRNA from 1 species
UACGUAGGCAGCAAGCGUUGUUCGGAAUUACUGGGCGUAAAGCGCACGUAGGCGGCUUUGUAAGUUAGAGGUGAAAGCCCAGGGCUUAACCCUGGAAUUGCCUUUAAGACUGCAUCGCUAGAAUCGUGGAGAGGUGAGUGGAAUUCCGAGUGUAGAGGUGAAAUUCGUAGAUAUUCGGAAGAACACCAGUGGCGAAGGCGACUUACUGGACACAUAUUGACGCUGAGGUGCGAAAGCGUGGGGAGCAAACAGG